GAUUUGUUUAAUCCUCAAGCUUGAUCUGGACAAGGACUGCUGUUUUGGGUGCUCCAGUGAAGAUUUGGAGCUCAAUUUGUUAUUGUAUUUGGUGAUGGUUUUGGGAUUUGGAUUGAGCAAGUAAAAGGCUCUGGCAAUUUCAUUUCGUUUUUGCUUCUCGGUGGAUUGCGUGAUUCAAGCUUUUCGAUGUGGCUAAGGCAAAUCUAAGCUACAGUUUGAUUUUCAGGCAGUGAGUUCAAAAGGGUUUGUUGAUACCAUCAUUGGUCUGUGACCUCAAAGGACUUUUGGGUUCUUAACCAGUCAGUUCUUACGGAUCCAUCUUCUGAAAAUAGUGGGAGCUAUCGUUUGGUUGGUCUGGAGUGCAUAUUAGAUAUUAUCAGGGCCCUCAGAAUGGGGUCCUGCUUGUCUGCAGAAAGCAGGAGCCCUCGCCCUGGUUCGCCUUCCUCUCCUGCUUUUGGGAUCAAGAAGAGGAAUUCGAAGAAGCGACCAGGGUCUCGGAAUUCUUCUUUUGAUUAUAGAAGGGAGGAGCCACUUCAUAGGAUUCCUGGGAGAUUGUUCUUAAAUGGGUCCAGCAAUAUUGCUUCACUGUUUACACAACAAGGCAAGAAAGGGACCAAUCAGGAUGCCAUGAUUGUUUGGGAGGAUAUUACCAAGACUCUUUGUUGCUUCACCAAAU